AUUGAACGCUGGCGGCAUGCUUUACACAUGCAAGUCGAACGGUAACAGGCCGCAAGGUGCUGACGAGUGGCGAACGGGUGAGUAAUGCAUCGGAACGUGCCCAGGCGUGGGGGAUAACGCAGCGAAAGCUGUGCUAAUACCGCAUACGAUCUGUGGAUGAAAGCGGGGGACCGUAAGGCCUCGCGCGAUUGGAGCGGCCGAUGUCAGAUUAGGUAGUUGGUGGGGUAAAGGCUCACCAAGCCGACGAUCUGUAGCUGGUCUGAGAGGACGACCAGCCACACUGGGACUGAGACACGGCCCAGACUCCUACGGGAGGCAGCAGUGGGGAAUUUUGGACAAUGGGCGCAAGCCUGAUCCAGCAAUGCCGCGUGCAGGAAGAAGGCCUUCGGGUUGUAAACUGCUUUUGUACGGAGCGAAAAGGCUCUCUCUAAUACAGGGGGCUCAUGACGGUACCGUAAGAAUAAGCACCGGCUAACUACGUGCCAGCCGCCGCAGUAAUAC
rnacentral:rRNA from 1 species